AGACCAGGGUGGCCGUAUCGCCCCUGGCAUAGAGUUAUGUGUAGUCCAGGCGUGGCCGUAUCGCCCCUGGCAUAGAGCAUUGUUGGAUUGUUAUGAGAUGAGAUCUAGAUGUAGAGGGCUAAUGGUGACGAAUUCAUCCUUGAUGUGUAUUAUUUGUGAUGUGAUGCAUGUCAUGAAAGCAUAUGAUAUAAUAAACUGUUUUUCUCUUUAGUUCUGCUCACUGGGCUUUUGUAGCUCACCCCUCUCCCCUAACCCCAGGUUUGCAGGGUCAGAGAUAGUCAGGAGAUCAGCAGGUUAUGACCAUGGUCAUGUUUAUGUAAUAGACUAGUAGUGGACAUGAUGUAAGGUAGAGAUAUGUAUCGAAAUGUAAUAUGUUAUGAUGUAAUGUAAUAGAUAGAGUUGUGCUUUGCCCUAGAAGUGUGGUUAAUCCCUUUGUACAUGGUCCUUUUGUACGUUUUAUUAUGAGACAGGAAAAGCCAAGCUUAAUGUAUGUUGCCCCACGAGAGUAGAUGAUGAGAACUCUAGUGUUGGGGUCUAUGGUUAUGAGUUGUGCAUGCACAGGUUAAGCUUGGUGUUCGAAAGAAAGAAAAAGUUUACAGUUUUAUGUUUUAAAGUUUAUGCUUAUGUUUGAUCAUGUAUGGGAUUAUACCAGAUGUACAGGAUGUAUGUUAGGCUUGCUACGGGUCCCGGCGACCUUAAGUCGAUCUGGAUCCUAGCGCCGAUAGCGGUCCGAUUUUCGGGUCAU
rnacentral:lncRNA from 1 species